AGAGUUUGAUCCUGGCUCAGAGUGAACGCUGGCGGCGUGGAUUAGGCAUGCAAGUCGAGCGAUCCUUGUCUGAAACUUGUUAGAGUGCUUGCACAAAGGUAAGUGGAUGACGCUGGAUAGCGGCAAACGGGUGAGUAACACGUAGAUAAUUUUCCUCAAAAUCGAGCAAAGCAUCGUGAAAACGAUGGUAAUUCUCGAUAUGCCCUUUUUAUCGUAUGGUAUUUAGGGUAAAGGCAGGGACCUUCGGGCCUGUCGUUUUGAGAUGAGUCUGCGUCCUAUCAGCUUGUUGGUGGGGUAAUGGCCUACCAAGGCGUAUGACGGGUAGCCGGCCUGAGAGGGUGACCGGCCACACUGGGACUGAGACACUGCCCAGACUCCUACGGGAGGCUGCAGUCGAGAAUCUUUUUCAAUGGACGAAAGUCUGAAAAUGCGACGCCGCGUGCAGGAUGAAGGCCUUCGGGUUGUAAACUGCUUUUGUUAGGAAAGAAACUCCUGCCAUUAAUAGUGGUAGGAGGNGAC
rnacentral:rRNA from 1 species